rnacentral:rRNA from 1 species
GAACUGAGACACGGUCCAGACUCCUACGGGAGGCAGCAGUGGGGAAUAUUGCACAAUGGGCGCAAGCCUGAUGCAGCCAUGCCGCGUGUAUGAAGAAGGCCUUCGGGUUGUAAAGUACUUUCAGCGGGGAGGAAGGUGUUGUGGUUAAUAACCGCAGCAAUUGACGUUACCCGCAGAAGAAGCACCGGCUAACUCCGUGCCAGCAGCCGCGGUAAUACGGAGGGUGCAAGCGUUAAUCGGAAUUACUGGGCGUAAAGCGCACGCAGGCGGUCUGUCAAGUCGGAUGUGAAAUCCCCGGGCUCAACCUGGGAACUGCAUUCGAAACUGGCAGGCUUGAGUC